CCUUGGGGCACUUUGGGCUAAAUUGGACUUUCUGGAAACAAGGCUGCAUCUGCCAGGAGAUGCCACUUUCAGAUCUGUGGUCUCAGCAUAGCUGACGGGAGCAGGCAGCGCAGCAUCAGCAGUAGUAAACCGUAACAUCCACAAUUUGAAAGUGUCAGGCUACCUGUGAGAUAGAUGCUGUCAUUCCAUGUGAGGAAACUGAGGCUAAGAACAUUUUAAAUGAAGGAUAUAUAAAGGAAACAUUUAAAAAGUAAACAGAAGAACAGAUCUGGGUUAAGAGGAAGACACAAACAAGGCUUACGAAAUUCUUCACUCAAAGCAUCACUGUCAGAUUGGUCUUGUGGAAAAGAAGCUGCCCUUGUUAGCAAACCAAGUUCAAGAGUUUUGGAACUCAUCCUUGCUGAGAGAGAAAUCAAGUAAAGUCAAGAGGCAUUUAUUAAGCACCAGGUUUGGGAGUUCUGGAUUUGAUGGAAAGCAGAGAAGAGGGAACCCAUUGAAAGAGGAAAGAAGAUAUGUCUUUUCAUAUGAUGUUAAGUUGGAAGGGGCCUCAGAUGUCAUCUAUCCUGACACCCCAAUUUUACAGAUAAAGAAGCUAAUGGCUAAGAAGGUUGCGACUCAUCCAAGCUCACUUAGAAAACAACUGUCAGAAGUAGAGUCUGAACUUCAUUCUUCUGACUCCUUCCAUCAAUCUUUCCAGUUUAAAUGACAUUUUCUCCCCUGAAGAUUAAAUAGCAUGGGAAUUAAAAAUCUUUCUGGAAGAUGUAUGGUAAAGUUAUUACUUGAAGAUAUACUGCAUAAUUGAGAUGAAUGUGAUAUGUUGUCCAGAGUCCUUGGCCCAUAUGUAUUAUUUUCCAAGAAAUGUGUGUAAAAUAUAAUUGUCCAUAAUCUUUAAUAAAGAUUAAGCUAUGAAAACA
rnacentral:lncRNA from 1 species